rnacentral:rRNA from 1 species
GUGGGGAAUAUUGGGCAAUGGGCGCAAGCCUGACCCAGCAACGCCGCGUGAAGGAAGAAGGCUUUCGGGUUGUAAACUUCUUUUAUGAGGGACGAAGGAAGUGACGGUACCUCAUGAAUAAGCUCCGGCUAACUACGUGCCAGCAGCCGCGGUAAUACGUAGGGAGCGAGCGUUAUCCGGAUUUACUGGGUGUAAAGGGCGUGUAGGCGGGGAAGCAAGUCAGAUGUGAAAACCAGUGGCUCAACCACUGGCCUGCAUUUGAAACUGUUUUUCUUGAGUGAUGGAGAGGCAGGCGGAAUUCCGUGUGUAGCGGUGAAAUGCGUAGAUAUACGGAGGAACACCAGUGGCGAAGGCGGCCUGCUGGACAUUAACUGACGCUGAGGCGCGAAAGCGUGGGGAGCAAACAGGAUUAGAUACCCCUGUAGUCC